AUAAGGAGCUUGCUCCUCUGACGUUAGCGGCGGACGGGUGAGUAACACGUGGAUAACCUACCUAUAAGACUGGGAUAACUUCGGGAAACCGGAGCUAAUACCGGAUAAUAUAUUGAACCGCAUGGUUCAAUAGUGAAAGACGGUUUUGCUGUCACUUAUAGAUGGACCCGCGCCGUAUUAGCUAGUUGGUGAGGUAACGGCUCACCAAGGCAACGAUACGUAGCCGACCUGAGAGGGUGAUCGGCCACACUGGAACUGAGACACGGUCCAGACUCCUACGGGAGGCAGCAGUAGGGAAUCUUCCGCAAUGGGCGAAAGCCUGACGGAGCAACGCCGCGCGAGUGAUGAAGGUCUUAGGAUCGUAAAACUCUGUUAUUAGGGGAGAACAAACGUGUAAGUAACUGUGCACGUCUUGACGGUACCUAAUCAGAAAGCCACGGCUAACUACGUGCCAGCAGCCGCGGUAAUACGUAGGUGGCAAGCGUUAUCCGGAAUUAUUGGGCGUAAAGCGCGCGUAGGCGGUUUUUUAAGCCUGAUGUGAAAGCCCACGGCUCAACCGUGGAGGGUCAUUGGAAACUGGAAAACUUGAGUGCAGAAGAGGAAAGUGGAAUUCCAUGUGUAGCGGUGAAAUGCGCAGAGAUAUGGAGGAACACCAGUGGCGAAGGCGACUUUCUGGUCUGUAACUGACGCUGAUGUGCGAAAGCGUGGGGAUCAAACAGGAUUAGAUACCCUGGUAGUCCACGCCGUAAACGAUGAGUGCUAAGUGUUAGGGGGUUUCCGCCCCUUAGUGCUGCAGCUAACGCAUUAAGCACUCCGCCUGGGGAGUACGACCGCCAAGGUG
rnacentral:rRNA from 1 species